AAGGUGUUGCUCCACCAUGGUGGCCAAAUGGGAAUGAGGAGUGGUGGCCUCAGUUGGGUCUGCCAAAGGAUCUAGGUCCUCCCCCGUACAAGAAGCCGCAUGAUCUGAAGAAGGCUUGGAAAGUGAGUGUUCUUACAGCAGUGAUCAAGCACAUGUUCCCUGAUAUUGCUAAGAUUCGAAAGCUUGUACGUCAAUCUAAAUGCCUGCAGGAUAAGAUGACUGCCAAGGAAAGUGCCACUUGGCUGGCGGUAAUUAACCAGGAAGAAGCAUUGUCCAGGAAACUGUAUCCUGAUAGCUGCCCUCCAGUAUCGGCUGGCGGGAGUGGCUCAUUCAUCAUCAGUGAUAGCAGUGAUUAUGAUGUUGAAGGUGUAGAGGAUGAUCGAAAUGUUGAAGUUGAGGAGAUCAAACCUCGUGAUGUUAAUCUCUUUAAUAUGGGGGCUAUGGGAAGAGAUAGGCUUAUGAUGACUCCACCUAUGGUUCCUCAAAUCAAGGGAGAACUUGUUGAAACCAACUCAGAUUUCAUUCAGAAGAGGAAGCAGCCUGCUGAUCAGUCUCAUUUGAUGAUGGAUCAAAAGAUAUAUACCUGUGAGUUUCCCCAGUGUCCCUACGGUGACUACCGCCUUGGAUUUCUUGAGAGGAGUUCGAGAAACAAUCAUCAGUUAAAUUGCCCUUAUCGCCACAAUUCUUCUCAAGGGUUCGGGAUGCCAAACUUUCAAGUUAACAAUGACCAAACUGUGGCUUUCUCUCGACCUUUUGCUCAACCAACUCAACCUAAGCCGGCAACUCCACCGAAGAACCAGACUCAAUCACAAUUCAAUAUUUCAGGACUUGAACUUCCUGAUGAUGGACAAAAGAUGAUCACCGAUCUGAUGUCCUUCUAUGAUACUAAUCAUCAGCAGAACAAGAGCUUGAAUUCAGGGAAUCUUAAUGCUAUUGGAGAUCAGAAUCAGCAGCAGGAGCAGCGGAAAUUUCAACUUCAAAUGGAUGAUAGCUUUUAUAGCCAAGGAGCUGUGAUGGGACGCAACAUGCCAGGGCAAUCUAACAUGCCAAUGAACAACUCUGUUUUCUCCUCGGCUGAAAUUCGUUUUGAUCAGUGCAAAGCAUUUGAUUCCCCAUAUGAUGCCAAUCCCAGCGACAGUAUCGCUGACUUUAGAUUUAACUCUCCAUUCAACAUGGCAUCAGUUGAUUACGCCAUGGAUUCUAUUCCGAAGCAAGAUGUAUCCCUGUGGUACCUUUGAAGAAGGAAAUGGACCUGUCAUAUAAAGUGCUUACAUUUUAUGUGGUCUCUAGCAGACUAGAAAAAAAAGCUGUACAUCAUUGGAAGAAGGUUACUGUUACGAGUUCUGCUCCAAAGGUGCGAGACUUCUUCCUUCUAAAUUUGGUAUGUUUCAAGUCUAGGGUUAUUUAGGUUUUGCUUUCAUUGCAGUAUUGAAGAUGGGCAAUAAGUAACUGGUAGGAACCACAACCCAAUAUUCACUGCUGCUGUUGAAGUUUAGGAACAGUGUCUUGUUGCUAUGGUUGGUAUUGGCCAGUAGUUGUAUACAUAUAUAUACAUAUACAUUAUGUACACAUAUUUUUAAUGUAUGCUUGUUUUCCAUCCACAACGGCUGUAUUUUUUUAAGCAUUCACCUAGCCAGAUGUGCUACUGGGUAUUGUUUUUUGGGGCACGAUUCUUAUUCCUUUUGUUGUUCUUUAUAUACGAUGGAUGGAUCGAUCGAGGUAAAAUAGUUUUGUUUGCCAUUUUGUAUGCGUAACUCGGAAAUGUUAACACUUUCUUUUUCUGUUUGUAAGCUACUGAUUCCAAGUUGAAGGAACUUUGAUUUUUUCCCCACUUUAAAUCUACUUUUGGCUAAUGAAGACCGAUUUUGAACAGUUGAAAUUCAAUGUAUUUUUUGUUAGGUAAUAACACAAUCGAUUUUGGGAAACAACUUUUUUCAGCAUGAUUUUAAAGGGGUGUUGCUUUCCCUCUUUGACAAACACUACGCAACCCAGUUAGGAAAACUGCUUAAUCGGAUGACUCAUGAUAGGCAAAUCUGACCGACAAAACCCAAAUGAUCCCAUGACCACCAAAACAAGCUUCCUUUUGUGCCAACACUAAAAGGGUAGUAUUAUUACUUACCAGGCAUGGACAAGUUAUGAAAGUAAAUUGCUGCUAUUGGACUAUUUUAAUAAAAAUAAUUUGCCAUCUAAUUUCUCCUUUUUAGAAGAUAGAUAUUAUUUUUCUAGAGUGCAUAGUGUGUGUCGCAAUGGAUAUACACUUUCAAAGUUGGGGUAUAUAGUUUAUAUGUGAAUUGGUAUCUUGCCUCGCACAUCAGUUGGAGUACAACUUUGUAAGUUUAUAGUUAUGUUAGAAUCAUUUUAAUGUAGAGUAUCAUUUCAUAAUAUACGAUCAAGUUGUAAUGAGUCUUUUUAUUAUUUAUCAUUUUAUAUGUGUAGUUGUGAUUUGUGAUCUAUCUUAAAACAGUUCUAAAAUAGUCAUAAUUUUAUUAUUGUAACUUCAAACUACACAUUUUGCAAAGAAAUGAAUAUUAUAAUUUUCUUUUUAGAUUACCCUUAUUUAAAUUUAAAAAAAAAAAGAGUUUGGAGAAUUAAUUUGAACUUUCUUUAUUUGAAAUAAAUAAUAAAAAUGAAGUGGGAGAUCGAGUGAACUCUAUUAUCUAAUCCGUUAGUGUUUUUUUUUUUUAAGGGUUCAAGGAGGUGACGCGUACUCCGAUAAUACGACGCCGUGGGCCCAUCUCGAUAUACGCGUCGAUCAUUGAAUGGCUCGUUAAAGGAACAGCACGUGGGGUAUUGAGGAUAAUCUUCAAGUGCGGCGGCUGUGGACUUUUGAGACUGAUUUUUUGAAUAAUUUGAAUAAUAUUUUUCUUUUUCGUUGCGACAAAUGCGCUUUUUGUAAUAAUACACUGAACUUCUCCUGGAUUUACGAAACUGCCCUUCCUAUUGUCGAAUAAUUUAAUGAGAAACAAUUAUGAAAAAAAGAAUAAUUUAAUUUUCAAAUAAAUGAGGAAAAACAACUAAUUAAAGGAAUUAUAGAAUCCUAAAUUGAGAUUGUAAACUUGUAAUGGUAAUAAAAGAGUCUUAAUGGUUUUCAUAAAUUAACUUUGUCUUGGUUAAGCAGUGAUCAAUUACGGUAGAUUUGUCCAUGAAAGAGAGGAUCAAAGAGUUUAUGUGCAUACAUUUUUUAAAUAUAUUUUUUAGCCAAAAAAAAAAAAAACAGGUUGGCAAUGAGCACGAAAAUUUAAUAAAGAUUUUUUUGGAGAUAUAAAAAAAAGUAAAAUAAUUUUAAUUUGGAUAUUAAAUUAGACAUUAUUUUGAGAAAAAAAUACAGGAAUAUGUAGUUUUGAUUGAGAAAUGAAAACAAGUAAGAAUGGAGUAUUUUUUUAAAAAAUAAAAUUUUACAUUUAAUUUUAGAAUAGGGUGAAUUUCAAUAUUUUUAAUCCAUACAAAUAUAGCGACAUAAAAUUUUAUAGGACUUUUUAAACAUUGUGGAUUAGUUUCUUAAUAGUUGAGCCGUAAAUAAAUGACUAAAAAUAUAGUUGUUUUUAUAUUUUCGGCGCAAACACUCUCAGCUUAUAAUUCACACUUUAUAAAUCACGGAUGCUUCAAUUAACCAUCAUUUUGCAUGUAAACACGUAGAUUCGCAUUGUCAAUGAAAAUAUUUUGAAAUAUUACUUUAAAAGGGUAGCUGUUAUUUUUAUUUUUAUUUUUCUAUUUUAUAUGCAUCUUAAACCCCAGAAGCUUAUAAUUUGGACCCCAAAAUAUAUUCAAGAAGAGGAAUCCAAAAACAGAAGAAAGAAGGGCCAAUAAAAAAAAAAAAAAACAAAUCUCCAUUCUUGUUACUUUUUUUGUUAAUUGACCAAUUUGAGCAAAAGCUUACACUAAGGGUUAGUUUGAUAAUGUCGUAACUUUUAAAAUAAUUACUGUUAGUUGUGUUAUAGAAAUAAUUAGCGGUGAAGAAAAUUAGUUAAAUGAUUGUUGAGAUUCAGUUUUAAAGGUGCCGUGAGUUUUAAAAGCAGUUGUAUGUAUUUAAUAAAUCUUACUCUUAAAUUAUUAUAAUAAUAUAAAUGAUUGAAUUAUAUAUAAUAUUAAAUAAAAUUUAUUUACACAUUUAUAAACAUGUAUAUACAAUAUAUUUUUUUAUUGUGUACAUAUGUUAAUUGAUAAAUAAAAUAAACAUUUUACACUAUUAAUUUUUUUAUUUUACUAUCUCAAUGCAGUCAAUAUAGUUGGUUAUAAUAAUAAUUUCUUUAAAGUUAAUGAUUUCUUCUAAUUAAUAAGAAUAAUUUUUAUUUUUAUUAUAUAUAUAUAAGAAUAUAUAUGAAAUUACACUAAGUAUAAAAAUAAUUUUUCAAAAUCAAAUUUUACUACCCAUUCGUUGAUUUUCAUAAUAUGUAAUAGGAUGAGAUAAUUGUUAAGAAUAAAUUAAAAAAAAACAUAUCAAACAGUAAACUUAACUUUUAAUUUUUUAAAUUUACUAAAUCUCAGAUGGGCCCUAAAGCUGAUAAUAGCUUAAGCUUUUUUAUAUCGCGUGAAGUUUCACUAGACAAGUCAAAAUUUGCACUAAAUUCUUACCCCCACGUGCGUCAAAUAUUUAUAGUCCUUAAAGUCCUUCAAACAAAGCCAAAAUUCUCCCUCCCAUCAAUUUUACCAGGCCCCACAGCGCUUUCUAGGUUCAAUUGAUUUAUUUUAUUUAUACUUUGACCAAACUUUUUAUAAAAAAAAUUAUUUAUUCAAAAUGAUUAACAGUUCAGCACUUAUUAUUCUUGCACUCGAAAAAGAAUAAGUCUUCUAUCUUGUUCGAGACUUCACCAUGUCUUGAUAAAGACUUGGUUGAUCCUCCAUAUUUGUUAAACAUAAUUCUAGGACUUAGUGAGAGCAAUUUACGUUAACUCAAUGAAAGUCAUUGGUGCGAUCAUUUUUAUUUCAUUAUUUUCAAAGAUUAAUCUUUUGAAUUGAGUAUUUGCAUAAUUGCAUCUUUUCAUUUUUUACCCCCCUCCCAAUUUAUCUUUUUCCCCCCCCCCCCAAUUUUUUUUUUUUUUUUUUUUUUUUUUUUACUUUAGUUAUCAAAUUCUAGCUAGCAUAUUACAAACUUGAUAUCAUGGUCACAUUUUCAUCUAGCACCUACAGUUAUAUGCGUCCACACUAUAUGCACUAUACUUCAUAAUUAUGGAUUCCAACUUCAUUAUUUAGUAUUGUAGUGCUAUGAUUUUAUCUGCAUAAAAUCACAGUUUCAAACUCGAUAGUUGUAAAUACUUAUCAAACACAUUAUUCGUAUAAUUUUAGAAGUUAAGUUGUAAGUUUAGAAGCUAAGUUGGUCAAUAUCAAUAUUAAUCUAUGGUAAUGCAGCCGUAGUAUCACCUUUUGUAAAUAAUGAAAAAUAAUAUAAUAUAUAGUUAAAAAAAAACAUGUUAAAAUUGAGAUUUGUUAACUUAUAUAAUAAGGUAACAAACACCAAUAAAUACACAAGCGUUAGAUUUCAAUCUAACGGCUGUGAAAAUGUAAGGUAAUAGUAUUAAAAACUAUAGAGAAAUGAGAAUACUUACCACAUUUAUAAUGUUUGUUACCUUAUCAUGUAAGAUAAUAAGAGCCGUUAAAAUUCGGUUCAUUACAUCAAACAUAGAGUAUACAUAUUUACAUCACAGUACAGCAAUGAGAAAAUAGUUCAGUUUACAGAUGCCAAUAUAUAACGGCAUUUGUUCAAGUAAACCUCCGUGAAAUUUAAGGAGAAAAACAAAGGCGCUAAUCUCUUGCCACGUUACAUAACCUGAUUUGUUAAUUUUAAGAAAGAAACGAACAAAAGAAACACAGAAGUGAGUCCCACAAAAGUAGUAGUAAAAAUUAUUAAACUCUGCAUAAUCAGCAGCGUAAUCCAAAUUCCCGCGUUUUAACCGCGGUUAAAAAGAAACUGACCGUGGUUAAAUAAAUGCAAAACAAAAGGUCACCGCUCUCGCCAGUCGCGAAAAAGAUUUUACUGUGUCACUUCGCUUUCCUUUGUUUUUUAGCUUCUUCGUCUUCCUUCUGGCUCCAUUACAAAAGCCGGAGGGAACAAUCCCACAUCCCAUCAAUUUCAACAUCAAAACGGUUUUGAUGGCUCGAACCAACAAGUGAAAAAAAUCAUCUCGUCUCAACUUAGCCGGUACAUUUAACUUUCAUUUGCGACUUCUUUUUUUCCUUCUUUUCCCUCAAUUUUUUUUUUUUUUUGAUUCAUGUUAAAUUAAAGUUAUAGUUUUGUUCUCUUGUAAAUGAUCUUCAGCUCUUUUGAGCAUGUGGGUUCUUAUUCUUUUGGCUUUUGGAUCAUCACUGCUGCGGUUUAUGUGUUAAGCUCGUGUCGUUUUGGUUUGGCUUGGCUUGGCAUACUGGGUUCACUAAAAUUUGCAGCAGGCUCUGUCUUUUUCUCUGUCCUUUUUUUUUUGUCUUUUCUAAUUUGGGAUUAUUUAGUUUUAAAUUUGUCUUAAUUUCAUUUAAGUAAAAUUAACGAAAGCUUUCAUUGUGAUCGAAACCCCGAACUUCCGGAUUUGUAUGGAUAAUUUAGUUCCGUGUUUGUGUAGCUUGUGUUCAAGAUAAGUGAUUUUAUUUUAAUUAUUCGUUAUUAUUAUUAUUAUUAUUAUUAUUUUUUCUUUUGCUUAUUCGGAAGGGGGGGGGGGGGGGGGUGGGUUUGCCGUUUAUGUAUUUUAGUUCCAACUGUAGGCAGAUCUGGGCUCUGGUAAUGUGGGUCAUUUUUUUUUUUUAAAUAAAUUUCGUUUUGUUAAAAGCUCUUGACACAUUAAUUUGUUGUAAUUUUGUUUUUUGUUGCAUUUAUUAUUUUAUUACUUGCCUUGUUUAUCUAAUUAAUGGGUUUAUGGGAAUUUGUACUUGGGGUUAUAUGUCUUUGAAUAGAAGUUGAUACAGAUUCACUGUACCGGGUUUAUCUAAGCUGGAACUGAUUUGUUUUAUUUAUUUAAUUUGCAGGACUUGACGGUUAAUGUAUAUUUCUAUAUUCUGAAUUGCAGAGUUCUCUGUUUUCAAGUUAUUUGUGGAGUACUUUUGUGCAUUUGUUGGUCGAGAGGGAGAGAAUCAAAGUGAUAUUGACCUGGUUCAAUUAAGCUUGGAAUCGAGGUUGAUAUUUGAGGCUAUAGUGAAUGGGAAUCUUUGAAGAAAUGGGAUUCUGCGGAAACCUUGAGUUCUUCUCAGCUCUCCCGGGGGAAGGAGAAGCAGUUAUGGGGCAUGAGAUGGAGACGGCAGUGGAAGAGGAUUGUAGUGAUGAAGAAGUGGAUGUUGAUGAACUCGAGAGGAGGAUGUGGCGAGAUCGGCUGCUCCUGAAGCGCCUUAAAGAGCAAAACAAGAGUAAGGAAGGAGUUGAUAGCGCUAAGCAUCGUCAAUCUCAGGAGCAAGCCCGAAGGAAGAAGAUGUCUCGGGCACAAGAUGGCAUCCUUAAAUACAUGCUCAAAAUGAUGGAAGUUUGUAAGGCUCAGGGUUUUGUUUAUGGAAUUAUCCCUGAGAAGGGGAAGCCAGUGACUGGAGCGUCUGAUAAUCUUCGAGCUUGGUGGAAGGAAAAAGUCAGAUUCGACCGUAAUGGCCCUGCGGCAAUUGCUAAGUAUCAGGCGGAUCAUGCUAUUCCUGGAAAGAAUGAAGAUUUUGGUACCGUGGUGUCUACGCCUCACACCUUACAAGAGCUACAAGAUACUACUCUUGGAUCUCUUUUGUCGGCUCUGAUGCAGCACUGCAAUCCACCGCAGAGGCGUUUUCCUUUGGAAAAAGGUGUUGCUCCACCGUGGUGGCCAACUGGGACUGAGGAGUGGUGGCCUGAGUUGGGUCUGCCCAAGGAUCAGGGUCCUCCCCCUUAUAAGAAGCCUCAUGAUCUGAAGAAGGCUUGGAAAGUGGGGGUUCUCACAGCGGUGAUCAAGCACAUGUCCCCUGAUAUUGCUAAGAUCCGAAAGCUUGUUCGCCAAUCUAAAUGCUUGCAGGAUAAGAUGACUGCUAAGGAAAGUGCCACUUGGCUGGCAAUAAUUAAUCAGGAAGAAGCUUUGUCUAGGAAACUGUAUCCUGAUAGCUGCAUUCCGGCGUCUACUGGAGGAAGUGGUUCUUUCAUCAUUAGUGAUAUCAGUGAUUAUGAUGUUGAAGGAGUAGACAAUGAAAGGAAUGUUGAAGUAGAGGAGAUUAAACCACUUGAAGCCAAUCUUUUCAACAUGGGUGCUAUGGGAUCAAGAGAUCGGCUUAUGAUGCCUCCAUCCUUGGUUCCUCGAAUCAAGGGAGAGGUUUUUGAGACCCACUCAGAAUCCAUUCAGAAGAGGAGGCAGUCGGCUGAUGAGCCACAUAUGACGAUUGAUCAAAAGAUUUAUACCUGUGAGUUUACCCAGUGCCCCUACAAUGACUACCACCAUGGCUUUCUGGACAGGACUUCGAGAAACAAUCACCAGCUGAAUUGCCCAUACCGCAAUAACAGUUCUCAAGGGUGUGUAAUGCCAAACUUUCAAAUUAACAAUGACCAACCUGCAGUGUUCUCUCUACCAUU
rnacentral:lncRNA from 1 species